rnacentral:rRNA from 1 species
CCUACGGGAGGCAGCAGUGGGGAAUAUUGCACAAUGGGGGAAACCCUGAUGCAGCGACGCCGCGUGAGUGAAGAAGUAUUUCGGUAUGUAAAGCUCUAUCAGCAGGGAAGAAGAAAGACGGUACCUAACUAAGAAGCCCCGGCUAACUACGUGCCAGCAGCCGCGGUAAUACGUAGGGGGCAAGCGUUAUCCGGAUUUACUGGGUGGAAAGGGAGCGUAGACGGUUGUGCAAGUCUGAAGUGAAAGCCCGGGGCUCAACCCUGGGAAUGCUUUGGAAACUGUGGAUCUAGAGUGCAGGAGAGGUAAGUGGAAUUCCUAGUGUAGCGGUGAAAUGCGUAGAUAUUAGGAGGAACACCAGUGGCGAAGGCGGCUUACUGGACAGUAACUGACGUUGAGGCUCGAAAGCGUGGGGAGCAAACAGGAUUAGAUACCCCAGUAGUC